UACGUAGGGGGCAAGCGUUGUCCGGAUUUAUUGGGCGUAAAGAGCGUGUAGGCGGCCAGGUAGGUCCGGUGUGAAAACUCGAGGCUUAACCUCGAGACGCCGAUGGAAACCAUGUGGCUAGAGUCCGGAAGAGGAGAGUGGAAUUCCUGGUGUAGCGGUGAAAUGCGCAGAUAUCAGGAAGAACACCCGUGGCUAAGGCGGCUCUCUAGUACGGUACUGACGCUGAGACGCGAAAGCGUGGGGAGCGAACAGG
rnacentral:rRNA from 1 species